AGAGCCUCCAAAUCUACGAUUGCCACCGUUGAACAUGAUGGAGCCUCCAAAUCGACGAUUGCUACUGUUGAAUAUGAUCUAUACCACUUGAAAUAUUAAGAAACCAAAUUUAAAAUCUUUUUGACAUCAUUGACCUAAUGAUCAAAGUGUUUCAAAAUUUAUAAUUUUAAUGGUCGAUAUAAGACGUUUAUUUGAAGUAUCUAGAAAAUAAAUUUUGCGAUUUUUCGAUAUCAUUGACCUAUAUAGCAAUCGAAGGGUUCAAAAUCAAUAAUUUUUAAUAGUUGAUGCAUAUAGUUUGCAAGUUUAUUUU
rnacentral:lncRNA from 1 species